rnacentral:rRNA from 1 species
GACGAACGCUGGCGGCGUGCUUAACACAUGCAAGUCGAACGGUAAGGCUCCAGCUUGCUGGGGUACACGAGUGGCGAACGGGUGAGUAACGCGUGGGUGACCUGCCCUGCACUUCGGGAUAAGCCUGGGAAACUGGGUCUAAUACCGGAUAGGACCGCACCGUGAGGGUGUGGUGGAAAGUUUUUUCGGUGUGGGAUGGGCCCGCGGCCUAUCAGCUUGUUGGUGGGGUAAUGGCCUACCAAGGCGGCGACGGGUAGCCGGCCUGAGAGGGUGGACGGCCACAUUGGGACUGAGACACGGCCCAGACUCCUACGGGAGGCAGCAGUGGGGAAUAUUGCACAAUGGGCGGAAGCCUGAUGCAGCGACGCCGCGUGGGGGAUGACGGCCUUCGGGUUGUAAACUCCUUUCACCAUCGACGAAGGGUUUCUGACGGUAGAUGGAGAAGAAGCACCGGCUAACUACGUGCCAGCAGCCGCGGUAAUACGUAGGGUGCGAGCGUUGUCCGGAAUUACUGGGCGUAAAGAGCUCGUAGGUGGUUUGUCGCGUCGUCUGUGAAAUUCCGGGGCUUAACUCCGGGCGUGCAGGCGAUACGGGCAUAACUUGAGUACUGUAGGGGAGACUGGAAUUCCUGGUGUAGCGGUGAAAUGCGCAGAUAUCAGGAGGAACACCGGUGGCGAAGGCGGGUCUCUGGGCAGUAACUGACGCUGAGGAGCGAAAGCAUGGGGAGCGAACAGGAUUAGAUACCCUGGUAGUCCAUGCCGUAAACGGUGGGCGCUAGGUGUGGGUUUCCUUCCACGGGAUCCGUGCCGUAGCUAACGCAUUAAGCGCCCCGCCUGGGGAGUACGGCCGCAAGGCUAAAACUCAAAGGAAUUGACGGGGGCCCGCACAAGCGGCGGAGCAUGUGGAUUAAUUCGAUGCAACGCGAAGAACCUUACCUGGGCUUGACAUAUACAGGAUCGCGCCAGAGAUGGUGUUUCCCUUGUGGCUUGUAUACAGGUGGUGCAUGGUUGUCGUCAGCUCGUGUCGUGAGAUGUUGGGUUAAGUCCCGCAACGAGCGCAACCCUUGUCUUAUGUUGCCAGCACGUUGUGGUGGGGACUCGUAAGAAACUGCCGGGGUUAACUCGGAGGAAGGUGGGGAUGACGUCAAAUCAUCAUGCCCCUUAUGUCCAGGGCUUCACACAUGCUACAAUGGUCGGUACAGUGGGUUGCCAGUCCGUGAGGGCGAGCUAAUCCCGCAAAGCCGGUCUCAGUUCGGAUCGGGGUCUGCAACUCGACCCCGUGAAGUCGGAGUCGCUAGUAAUCGCAGAUCAGCAACGCUGCGGUGAAUACGUUCCCGGGCCU